UGUCUGAGUCUUGACCACUCCCCUUGUCUACCCUAAAUUUUCAGAGGGUAGGAGGACUCAGGUGGGAGAGUCACAGCAUCAUUCACAAGUCCAGCACUGCUAAUUAGGGAGUCGGUAUUGAAACCGUGGGCUUUGGAGACAGCCCUGCCUGGGUUCAAAUCCCAGCGCUGCCUGGAAUUAGUUAUGUGAGUCUGGGACGCUCGCUUAACCUCUUUGAGUCUAUUUUCUCGCCUAUAAAGUGGGAAUCAUAAUGCAUAUUCCUAAGGAUUUCUGUGAAGGUUAGAGAAGAUAGGACGUGAAUUCUUGGACUCGAAAAUGACAAUAUCCCACAGAUUCCCACCAUUGAUUUAAAUUACUGAAAUGAGGACCUUUCUUAAAUAUCGAUAAAUACACUCUUUACAACUAUACGACCAAAGGCAAGAGUACAAGUCGAGAAAAACCAACAGAACUAAAGUUGGCUCUUGUGAUUAAUGCUGUUAUUUUGCUGAAAUUAAUUCGCCUUCUUGAAACACCAGUUUCUAGGACGGGGUUCUUUUGAGCCGGGCAUCCCGAACCCACCAUGUGCCGCGCGAUGGUUCAACUUGCCGACAACCUUUCUCGGGUCUGGACAUUGUAACCUGGAGGGCUGUAGGCUACGUGUGGCCCAUGGAUGGACGUGUUUCACCUGACCCUCAUAGGAUUCAUUUUUUUCCAAUUAGCUGCCGUUAUAAAAGAAUGAAGAUAUUACACCUAAAAUGCGCUGUUCCCGCUCCUCUUGAAAGGCUGGAAGAGCCAGCCCCGCAGGACUGCAGGGUCGGGGGGUGAAUGGCAGUCCCCUGUCACCUGAGCUGGGCUUCCCAACUCCAUUCUCCUGGCUCUUCCCAUGUGCGUAAGCUGCCAGCCUCUGUGGGAUUUGCUCUGGGACCUCUUCCUCUGUGACUUACACCCGUUCCUCAGCAGCCCGUGACGGCCAAACAGCAUUUCAAGACACCCCCAAAAGGCAAAAAGACACCUAAAUAGCACUCCAGUCUUCAACAGAGCUGGGUGCAGAAACAAACCACCAGUUCAUGCAGUGUGAGUUUUUAAGGGUAUUUACACAAGAGAAACGAAAACGAAUGCCCACGCAAGGACCAGUACACAAAUGUUCAGAGCAGUCCUAUUCAUAUGAGCUAAAAACUGGAAACAACACAAAUGUCCAUCAGUGGGUGAGUGGAUAAAUAGGGCAUAUCUAUGAAGCAGAACACUGCUAGCAAUAAAAAGGAACACGCUGCUGAUAUCCGUCAUUACACUGAGUCAAAGAAGCCAGAAGCAAAGGGUACAUAUUAUAUAAUGCCAUUUAUAUAAAAUUCUAGAAAACGUAAAUUAAUCUGUGUGGUGACAAGACAGAUCAGCAAUGUGGAGGAGGAGGAAAUUACCACAUGGGGCAUAAGGAGACUUUGGGGGGCAAUGGAAAUGUUCUAUGUCUUAAUCGUGGCUGUGAUUUCACACAUGUGUAUUCGUGUUAAAAGUCACCAAAGCGCACACUUUA